rnacentral:lncRNA from 1 species
CAGCAGAUCGCCAAGGUUUCAGGCAGGAAAUUGCCCCAACCCUGCCAGGAGAUGUUGGGGAUUGAAUUUGGGACCACCUACAUGUCCAGCAGAUGCUCUACCCCUGGGCUAUGGUGUGCUGGUGAGGAUCACAAGCUGUGCAGAUGCCCUGCUUGUGGACUGGAUUUCUGUCCUUAUAUAAAUCAAUCAGAGGCUUUGUGGAAAAGCCAGGUUUUGCCCUGAUUCCAUAAGGCCAGCACCAUUUCUGCUCCUACAAAUUCUUAGAUGCUGAGCAGAAGGUGUAUGGGGGCAAAUCAAUAAGGUGAUUCUCACAAUCAAGGGCUUUAAAGCUCAGAAAUAUCCCCUUAAAUCAAGCCUGGAAGCAAGGAGGCAGCCAAUGAAGAUCCAACAAAAUUAUGAAUGACAUGGUCCAAUUAGCCAACACCAGUCUACAAUCUGGCAUCAAGAUUUCUUAAUGCUUUUUAAGGGAUGUCCCAGAUAGAGUGCAUUGCAGUAGUCUAACCUUGAGUUUACCAGAGCCUAAUUAUUACAUUGUGUGUGCUGAGUGUGCCCUCUAAUGCACCCAACUCUCCCUUGUGUUUGCACACAUGAAAGGAAGAUUAACAGUGGUAGGCAAGUUCUUUUUUCCGGAGAACUGUUACCCUGGCACACAUUUUGAGAGCUCCUGGCUUGGGCUCUUAUGAGCUCUAAUAGAGGCACAGUUCUUAACUUCGUAAUUUGACUUUCCCUUGUGAGCAAUUUUUCUUGACAAUUAUGCGUAUAUGAUACGUCCCUCUGCAUAUUUCAUAAUCAUCUGAGCAGAAUACUGAGGGUUCGUUUCAGAGAUUUGCAGAAAAGUACUCCUUUUAAAAAGUCAUGUUUUAUUUAAGAAAGCCAUCUUUUUCAUGGAGAGUCUUUACCACUGACUGUGCAAAAAGAGCCUUUGAGCGUGAUCAAAAGUCCUUCCCUGCAAUAAAUGAGAUGCAUCUUUCCCCUAUCUCUCCUCAGCCCUCUCUGUGCAUUUGUCACAGUUUGUUCCUUUAUCCUUGACUUGCAGGGCCCCAAAUCUCCCAGCAUCCUUUGCCUGAUCUUCACCCACAGCCUCCUCCAUCCCUUAUCGAAGUCACACUGCUCUCCUAAUUCUUGCACGAAAGCAACACUGCUAUGUCCUUGAGCAGAGCAGAAAUAAUCAAAUAUUCUCCCCGGGCUCAGAUAUCCUCUUCUUCACUGCAUGCUCUAGGAAACCAAUCUUGAAGUGCAACACCAAAUGGAACACUCUGAUACGCAGCUCUGUGGUAGACAUCAUGAAAUAGGCCUUCAGAACCCAUCGGCCAGAGAUGGAGAACCUGCUGGACUACAACUCCCAUCAUCCCUGACAAUGCUGGUCAAUAUUCUACUUGGAUCAAUGACUUUUCAGAGCAGCAGUUGGCUAUAAAGUAUAGGACACAGCACUUGAAACAUCUUCAGUAUUUGGGGAAUGGAUAAUAGAGUGAAGAGGCCUCUUCAGAAUAUGGAAUUCCUUAUCCAUCUUUUAUUGGUGGACUAUGCGUUAAUCCUGGACCUUCAAAAUGCACGGCGUAUUAUUAACGUCUUGUUUCUCUGCCCUGGCUGAAUGAGCCAUGUAAGCGCUUCUGGUGCAAAUUAACCAAGAGAAGCCUUUAAAAUCCACCCUUUUCUUUGCAAAUAUUAAUUCAAAACAUAGCUCGUCAAGUCAGAUGUAUAAUUAAAAUGGAUGUUUGAGCUUAGUGAAAGAGGAAGCUUUUUCUUUCAGAAGCAAGAGGAAUUCAAAGAAGCCAGUGCAGGGAGGAAGCUAGCCAGGGGUCCUCGCUUAGUGUCUGCUAGGAUGGACUUUCAUGCUGCUACUUAAUGCAGAAAGGUUUCUUAGUAGCUGUGGGAAAUGACUUGGCUAUCCCCCAUUUAUUACCAUAAGUUAUCACAGUGGUCAAAGGCAUGAGUUCAGUUAAACUCUCGUG